UGUUGUUUUGCUGGGGUUUUUUUUUUUUAGUUUUUGGUUUUGCUUUGUUUUUCCAAUCAUGAUUUGGCCAGAUUAAUUAGAAAUGUACCUUAGAAUAGAAAUCCACAAUGCUUGAAACAGUAAGGUGUUUAAAUUACCAUACAUUUAUUAUACUGUUGUAGGGAGGCUUUCUGUAAUAGAAGCAAGGUGGAUUGAAAUCUCUUUUGAAAUGAAUGUAACCUGUUAGAAUGACUAUUUGCUUUAAUAGCAAACUAUUUUAGAAUAUCCAGGAUUCAGUAGUAGUGUCUGCAACAUCACAAUCAUUUAAUCACCUAAGCUGUUUUUGCCUUUUCCUUUUUUACAGAUUUGAUGUGUUUGAAGGGACUUUUAUUUGCCAAUUGUUAAAAUUGGGGGAGAAUACAGUAAGGCCAAGAAAUGUGUUUUGCCAAGGGAAAAAAGCUGAGAGAAUCAUAGAACAGCCAAAGUAAAUCUACAGUGUGACUUGAAUACAAGACUUAAAGCUUCAUGCUUCUGUUUCACAGAAAGUGUACAUUCCAACGUUUGAAGUCUCUUUUCCUUUUUGGCAAUUGCAUCUGGCAGCUUCAGUAAAACCUUAAAACUACUCCAGGUGGGUUUGUCAGGGGUGCUGAUACAGUUCUGUUUCCUGUGCUCUCCUCCUCUAUUGCAGCCCCACUGUCCUGCCCAAGUCUCAGCUCUAACCACAGCAGUAGUUUUAGUGCUGGCCAUUCAUAGUCCUGUGUAGCAUAUUCUUAUUGGUAAAGUGGCACAGAGAGAGACACAGAUCAUCUAGAGUUUAACAAAUAGUUUUGGCAGAGAACUGUGCUUAAAUUAUUUUCUUUGGCAGAUAAAUGGAC
rnacentral:lncRNA from 1 species